rnacentral:rRNA from 1 species
UACAGAGGUCCCAAGCGUUGUUCGGAUUCAUUGGGCGUAAAGGGUGUGUAGGUGGCGCCGUAAGUCGGGUGUGAAAUCUCGGGGCUUAACUCCGAAACUGCAUUCGAUACUGCGGUGCUUGAGGACUGGAGAGGAGACUGGAAUUCAUGGUGUAGCAGUGAAAUGCGUAGAGAUCAUGAGGAAGACCAGUGGCGAAGGCGGGUCUCUGGACAGUUCCUGACACUGAGACACGAAGGCCAGGGGAGCGAACGGG